rfam:Ruminococcus sp. CAG:57 genomic scaffold, scf96
AUAUUAGAGCAUUCGUAUCUAAAGACAGUUGGCAGCAGGAAGCUGCGGAAGUCCAGCCGAGGAAAGGAAUAGCAAAGUAAUUAUGACUUUGUAUCUCUUUUGUCUUGCGACGAAAGGGAUUUUUCUUUUGUUAG